rnacentral:tRNA from 1 species
GGAGAAGUGGAUGAGCGGCUGAAAUCGCUUCCCUGCUAAGGAAGUAAACCGAAAGGUUUCGAGAGUUCAAAUCUCUCCUUCUCCG